rnacentral:rRNA from 1 species
AAGAGUUGCGAACGGGUGAGUAACGCGUAGGUAACCUGCCUCUUAGCGGGGGAUAACUAUUGGAAACGAUAGCUAAUACCGCAUAAAAGUCGACAUUGCAUGAUGUUGACUUGAAAGGUGCAACUGCAUCACUAAGAGAUGGACCUGCGUUGUAUUAGCUAGUUGGUGAGGUAACGGCUCACCAAGGCGACGAUACAUAGCCGACCUGAGAGGGUGAUCGGCCACGCUGGGACUGAGACACGGCCCAGACUCCUACGGGAGGCAGCAGUAGGGAAUCUUCGGCAAUGGGGGCAACCCUGAUCGAGCAACGCCGCGUGAGUGAAGAAGGUUUUCGGAUCGUAAAGCUCUGUUGUAAGAGAAGAACGAGUGUGAGAGUGGAAAGUUCACGCUGUGACGGUAUCUUACCAGAAAGGGACGGCUAACUACGUGCCAGCAGCCGCGGUAAUACGUAGGUCCCGAGCGUUAUCCGGAUUUAUUGGGCGUAAAGCGAGCGCAGGCGGUUAGAUAAGUCUGAAGUUAAAGGCUGUGGCUUAACCAUAGUACGCUUUGGAAACUGUUUAACUUGAGUGCAGAAGGGGAGAGUGGAAUUCCAUGUGUAGCGGUGAAAUGCGUAGAU